rnacentral:rRNA from 1 species
UACGAAGGGGGCUAGCGUUGCUCGGAAUCACUGGGCGUAAAGCGCACGUAGGCGGGUCCUUAAGUCAGGGGUGAAAUCCUGGAGCUCAACUCCAGAACCGCCUCUGAUACUGAGGAUCUCGAGUUCGGGAGAGGUGAGUGGAACUGCGAGUGUAGAGGUGAAAUUCGUAGAUAUUCGCAAGAACACCAGUGGCGAAGGCGGCUCACUGGCCCGAUACUGACGCUGAGGUGCGAAAGCGUGGGGAGCAAACAGG